rnacentral:pre_miRNA from 1 species
UUACUGCUCCUUCCGUGCAACAAAGGAUGUCUCAAUUUUGAUCAAAUUUGGAUGUAUCUAGACGUGUGCAUCUAUACACUAAAACACGUCUAGAUACAUCCAAAUUUUGACAAACUUGAGACAUCCUUUGCUGAAUGGAGGGAGUACUAG